rnacentral:rRNA from 1 species
GACGAACGCUGGCGGCGUGCCUAAUACAUGCAAGUCGAACGCUUCUUUCCUCCCGAGUGCUUGCACUCAAUUGGAAAGAGGAGUGGCGGACGGGUGAGUAACACGUGGGUAACCUACCCAUCAGAGGGGGAUAACACUUGGAAACAGGUGCUAAUACCGCAUAACAGUUUAUGCCGCAUGGCAUAAGAGUGAAAGGCGCUUUCGGGUGUCGCUGAUGGAUGGACCCGCGGUGCAUUAGCUAGUUGGUGAGGUAACGGCUCACCAAGGCCACGAUGCAUAGCCGACCUGAGAGGGUGAUCGGCCACACUGGGACUGAGACACGGCCCAGACUCCUACGGGAGGCAGCAGUAGGGAAUCUUCGGCAAUGGACGAAAGUCUGACCGAGCAACGCCGCGUGAGUGAAGAAGGUUUUCGGAUCGUAAAACUCUGUUGUUAGAGAAGAACAAGGACGUUAGUAACUGAACGUCCCCUGACGGUAUCUAACCAGAAAGCCACGGCUAACUACGUA